GGGGAAUAUUGCACAAUGGGGGAAACCCUGAUGCAGCGACGCCGCGUGGAGGAAGAAGGUCUUCGGAUUGUAAACUCCUGUUGUUGAGGAAGAUAAUGACGGUACUCAACAAGGAAGUGACGGCUAACUACGUGCCAGCAGCCGCGGUAAAACGUAGGUCACAAGCGUUGUCCGGAAUUACUGGGUGUAAAGGGAGCGCAGGCGGGAGAACAAGUUGGAAGUGAAAUCCAUGGGCUCAACCCAUGAACUGCUUUCAAAACUGUUUUUCUUGAGUAGUGCAGAGGUAGGCGGAAUUCCCGGUGUAGCGGUGGAAUGCGUAGAUAUCGGGAGGAACACCAGUGGCGAAGGCGGCCUACUGGGCACCAACUGACGCUGAGGCUCGAAAGUGUGGGUAGCAAACAGGAUUAGAUACCCUGGUAGUCCACACCGUAAACGAUGAUUACUAGGUGUUGGAGGAUUGACCCCUUCAGUGCCGCAGUUAACACAAUAAGUAAUCCACCUGGGGAGUACGACCGCAAGGUUGAAACUCAAAGGAAUUGACGGGGGCCCGCACAAGCAGUGGAGUAUGUGGUUUAAUUCGACGCAACGCGAAGAACCUUACCAAGUCUUGACAUCCCUUGACGAUGCUGGAAACAGUAUUUCUCUUCGGAGCAAGGAGACAGGUGGUGCAUGGUUGUCGUCAGCUCGUGUCGUGAGAUGUUGGGUUAAGUCCCGCAACGAGCGCAACCCUUAUGGUCAGUCACUACGCAAGAGGACUCUGGCCAGACUGCCGUUGACAAAACGGAGGAAGGUGGGGAUGACGUCAAAUCAUCAUGCCCUUUAUGACUUGGGCUACACACGUACUACAAUGGCGUUAAACAAAGAGAAGCAAGACCGCGAGGUGGAGCAAAACUCAGAAACAACGUCCCAGUUCGGACUGCAGGCUGCAACUCGCCUGCACGAAGUCGGAAUUGCUAGUAAUCGUGGAUCAGCAUGCCACGGUGAAUACGUUCCCG
rnacentral:rRNA from 1 species